rnacentral:rRNA from 1 species
AAACUUAAAGGAAUUGACGGAAAGGCAGCACCAGGGGUGGAGCGUGCGGCUUAAUUUGACUCAACGCGGGAAACCUUACUAGGAUAAGACAUUAGAAUGAUUGACAGACUGCUUGAUCUUUCUUGAUUUUAUGGGUGGUGGUGCAUGGCCGGUCUUAGUUGGUGGGGUGACCCGUCUGGUUAAUUUCGGUAACGAACGAGAUCCGAGUUGUUUAGUUGGCGAACCCUAGGGUUUUACUUUGGUGUUGCGUCUCCUAAAUGGACUAUCAGUUUUAAAUUGAGGGAAGUUUCGGGCUAAAUCAGGUCUGUGAUGCCCUUAG